UACGGAGGGGGCUAGCGUUGUUCGGAAUUACUGGGCGUAAAGCGCACGUAGGCGGCUUUGUAAGUUAGAGGUGAAAGCCCAGGGCUUAACCCUGGAAUUGCCUUUAAGACUGCAUCGCUAGAAUCGUGGAGAGGUGAGUGGAAUUCCGAGUGUAGAGGUGAAAUUCGUAGAUAUUCGGAAGAAACACCAGUGGCGAAGGCGACUCACUGGACACGUAUUGACGCUGAGGUGGCGAAAGCGUGGGGAGCAACAGG
rnacentral:rRNA from 1 species